AUACUUACCUGACCGGGGUGAUACUGUGAUCACAAAGGUGGUUUUCACCGGGCAAAGCUCAUCCAUUGCACUUUGGAUGUGCUAACCCAUGUGAUUUUCCCAAAUGUGGGAAACCUGAUUGCAUAAUUUGUGGUAGUGUGGGACAGUGUUUGUGCUCUUCCCCC
ensembl:snRNA U1 U1 spliceosomal RNA